ensembl:antisense 1700065D16Rik RIKEN cDNA 1700065D16 gene
UAGGGGCACCUCUGCCACCCAAAUUCUGGGAUUGAAGGCGGCGAGCCUCAAAGAGGCAACCUCAGAUGAACACCAACGCGUGUUUUAGUUUGGGGGACGCUGUGCACGUUGGACUCCGUGAACCCGUGGCCAGUCCCGGGGACUUCCGACUAGAGUAGCGGGGCUGGCCAACGCUCGGCCUCUCUCGGAGGAGAAACCGCCGCGCUUCCCUCAGAAGCGGGGCCGUGAUUCCCAAACAAAACCUCAGCCAAUGGAUUCCGUCAACAACGACCAAAGGACCAGGACCCGGGGGAAGUUUUCGGGAAGCAAACGAGUGUGGUAAGAUGGCCAGAAGAGACCCUUCUCGAGGCCAAGCGGGAAGCAGCUCGCGUGGACGGGCUCCCCGCGAGCGGAGCCGCGGCUGCCACGGUCACCCCGGCACGUGGGUCGCCACGGCGCUCCGGCCAACUGCCACUGUGAGGGAGGGAACGGCGGCCACAGGCCGCGGCGCGGGCCGAGGAGACCCGGCGACUCGAAGCUGGCGACGACGCGCGGCCCUACCUGGCCAACUCCCGCAGGGCGGGGAUCAUGGACGCCAGCUCCAGCCCGUGGUCGCCCAUGGUGACACCGAGCGGCUCUCAAAACAGCCGCCGCCGGCGCCGGGCUUCUCCACAGCCGCCUCCGGAGGAGAGGGCGGAGCGUCGACGGAGCCCCGCGAGGUCCAAAAUUCUCCUCCCGGAAGCCGCUCUCGGUUGCGGUUGGAACCCUGGGGAAAUCCCAGAGGCGACAGGGGCGGAGCCGACAGCGGACGUGCCCGCCCACUUUCCCUCCCAGGCGAGUGCGUGACCUACUCCACGGGUAUUUUUUGCUCAAACCUGGAUGCUCAGCGAAGCCGUAAGCUAGGAUCUGGGUCGGAGAGGGACCUGACGACCCAACAAAGUUAGAUAUUUCACUAUGUUCGAAUGGCAUAUUUAACUAGGUAAGGCCAUGCAGUAAUCAAUCCUUACAUUUGCUGUUUAGGACACAAGGGUAAUUAUUGAUACAACCUCCAAAAAUAAAAUUAAAAAGUGGUGGAAUGGCAGCCAGAUGCGCUCUGACUGCAAAGCUGUACUUUGAACACCCAUCCCUUUGCCCCGUUUCCUUCAGUGAUGCCCUGUGACGAGGAACUUUAAGCUGAAGCAAACCUUUUCCUUCCCAGGUCACUUUCCAUCAUUGUGUUCCAUCACAGCAAUAGAAACCUAACAUAGGACAGGCAACUAUGAAAAAUAGUGUAUCUGCUAAAAAGCAAGAAAAACUAGCUAUUUUUAAAUCAUGUUGAGAAAGAUGACAAUAAUGACAGAGCUGAGGGCACAGUCCAGUGGAAGAGCACUAACCUAGCUCAUGAGGCUCGGGCACAGAGGACCUAGAGUACUAAACAAACUACAGUUAAACGAUUUUAAAAAAGAAGGCAUAGUUGCACAUGCCUACAAUCCCCUUACUUUGGGUAUAGAGGCAGAAGGAUCAAGAGUUCAAAGCCAUCCUUAGCUCUAUAAUGAGCUCAAGGGCAGUCUGGGAUACAGGGGAACCCUGUCUCAAAAAACAAAACAAAACCAAAAGCCACUACCACCACCACCACCAACAACAACAACCCAGUAUGUAAUUCAUCACUGAGUAGCACUGCAGUUCUGAAGUGCAGGACCCCAAACAGCAGAGCUCUGGCAAAUCUAAUCCAAAAAGCAAUUUUUGAAACAAUUAUUUGUUUUUCACUUUACAUUCCAAUACCACCCCCUCUCCUCCCAGUGCCGUUGGUGGGCCACCAUGGGCAGUCCACAUAUGUCCUAGGCUAUCUGUGAAUAUGAUCCAACACAACUGAGGGACAGCAUCAUCACCCAGUGUCGGUAAGUGGUAGGGAGGUACUGAUAGCUCUCCACAGAGUGACAAUAAGCUGGCCACAGCACUACAUGGCUAUAAUUCUAGCACUUUAGAGGCGGAGGCAGCAUGGUAACCAGCUUAAGCCGCCUUAGGUUACAUGGUGAGGCACAGUCUGAAACAAUAGCAAGAGCUAGUCAAAGCUACCCUUGAGUUUGGAGGGGGGUGCAAAUCAGAAUGAAAGGAAGCUGGCAGCCAUUUAUCUGGACAGCCUUAGUGAUACACCAAUAAAUGAGAGGCAGAUGCCAAGGCCAGUGUCGGUCCUCCCUCUGAGGACUCUCUCUCUCUGCCAAACUCUGCAGAAGAAUUUUUCGUAAGGCUGAUUCUAUUUUCAUCUCCCAUUCAGUCCUAACCCAGUAUUUAUUAUACUCUGCCCUUGUGUCCCUCCCCCUCCCUGCCCUAAUUCUCCCCAGAAUCACCAACAGUUUCUCUUUUUCUCCUGUUGCUGCUGUUGUUGUUGCUUAUUGAGAUUGGGUCCCCCAUAGCCCAGGCUGGCCUUGAGCUCACUAUGUAGCUGAGGAUGACCUUGAACUGCUGAUCUUCAUCCCACCUUCUGGGUACUGGGAUUACAGGCAGGUGCCUCUAUAUUUAGUUUACAUAGAGCUAGAGCUAGAGCUCAGACUCAUGGUGUGGUGGUUUGAAGGAGAAUGACCCCCAGAGGCUCAUAUAUUUGAACACUUGGCAUCCCCAGUUGGUGGAACUGUUUAGGAAGGAUUGCUGGAGGAGGAGUGUCACUAGGAGUGGGGGCAGGUGGACUUUUAGAUUUCAAAAGCCAAUGCCAUUUCCAAUUACUUCUUUCUCUCUCCCUCUUCCUCUUCCUUCUCUUCCCUCCCCGUUCUCCCUGUCUCCCCAUUCACUCGUCUCUCUUCCCUCUGUCCAGUGCUUGUGGAUCAAGAUGUAAGCACUCAGCUAAUUCACCAGCGCCAUGCCUGCCUGCCUGUCGCUUUGGUCUCUGCCAUAAUAGUCAUGGAUUCCAACCCUCUGAAACUGUAAGCAAGCCCCCAAUAAACUGUUAAUCUCU